rnacentral:ribozyme from 13 species
GCCUGGAGGGAUGCAACGGCGACGCCCGCAAGGAGCAAGGCCACGGCAGCAAA